GAACUGUGCGAACGUUAUUCGGAAUCACUGGGCUUACAGGGUGCGUAGGCGGCUUGUCAAGUAGGGUGUGAAAGCCCCCGGCUCAACCGGGGAAUUGCGCCCUAAACUGGCGAGCUGGAGUGAGAUAGGGGUGUGUGGAACUUCCGGUGGAGCGGUGAAAUGUGUUGAUAUCGGAAGGAACGCCGGUGGCGAAAGCGACACACUGGAUCUUGUCUGACGCUGAGGCACGAAAGCCAGGGGAGCGAACGGGAUUAGAUACCCCGGUAGUCCUGGCUGUAAACGAUGAGCACUAGGUGUCGUGGGUAUUGACCCCCGCGGUGCCKCCGCUAACGCAUUAAGUGCUCCGCCUGGGGACUACGGCCGCAAGGUUA
rnacentral:rRNA from 1 species